GACGAACGCUGUUGGCGUGCUUAACACAUGCAAGUCGAACGGUAAGGCUCCAGCUUGCUGGGGUACACGAGUGGCGAACGGGUGAGUAACACGUGGGUGACCUGCCCUGCACUUCGGGAUAAGCCUGGGAAACUGGGUCUAAUACCGGAUAGGACCGCACCGUGAGGGUGUGGUGGAAAGUUUUUUCGGUGUGGGAUGGGCCCGCGGCCUAUCAGCUUGUUGGUGGGGUAAUGGCCUACCAAGGCGGCGACGGGUAGCCGGCCUGAGAGGGUGGACGGCCACAUUGGGACUGAGACACGGCCCAGACUCCUACGGGAGGCAGCAGUGGGGAAUAUUGCACAAUGGGCGGAAGCCUGAUGCAGCGACGCCGCGUGGGGGAUGACGGCCUUCGGGUUGUAAACUCCUUUCACCAUCGACGAAGGGUUUCUGACGGUAGAUGGAGAAGAAGCACCGGCUAACUACGUGCCAGCAGCCGCGGUAAUACGUAGGGUGCGAGCGUUGUCCGGAAUUACUGGGCGUAAAGAGCUCGUAGGUGGUUUGUCGCGUCGUCUGUGAAAUUCCGGGGCUUAACUCCGGGCGUGCAGGCGAUACGGGCAUAACUUGAGUACUGUAGGGGAGACUGGAAUUCCUGGUGUAGCGGUGAAAUGCGCAGAUAUCAGGAGGAACACCGGUGGCGAAGGCGGGUCUCUGGGCAGUAACUGACGCUGAGGAGCGAAAGCAUGGGGAGCGAACAGGAUUAGAUACCCUGGUAGUCCAUGCCGUAAACGGUGGGCGCUAGGUGUGGGUUUCCUUCCACGGGAUCCGUGCCGUAGCUAACGCAUUAAGCGCCCCGCCUGGGGAGUACGGCCGCAAGGCUAAAACUCAAAGGAAUUGACGGGGGCCCGCACAAGCGGCGGAGCAUGUGGAUUAAUUCGGUGCAACGCGAAGAACCUUACCUGGGCUUGACAUAUACAGGAUCGCGCCAGAGAUGGUGUUUCCCUUGUGGCUUGUAUACAGGUGGUGCAUGGUUGUCGUCAGCUCGUGUCGUGAGAUGUUGGGUUAAGUCCCGCAACGAGCGCAACCCUUGUCUUAUGUUGCCAGCACGUUGUGGUGGGGACUCGUAAGAAACUGCCGGGGUUAACUCGGAGGAAGGUGGGGAUGACGUCAAAUCAUCAUGCCCCUUAUGUCCAGGGCUUCACACAUGCUACAAUGGUCGGUACAGUGGGUUGCCAGUCCGUGAGGGCGAGCUAAUCCCGCAAAGCCGGUCUCAGUUCGGAUCGGGGUCUGCAACUCGACCCCGUGAAGUCGGAGUCGCUAGUAAUCGCAGAUCAGCAACGCUGCGGUGAAUACGUUCCCGGGCCU
rnacentral:rRNA from 1 species